rnacentral:lncRNA from 7 species
GAGAAUAAUUCUUUACUAAAACAUAAAAAAGAAAAGCCAUGCAUCAUAUCGGAGUUUUGUUUGUGCAUUUAAUAAAAUAAUAACAUGGAUAAAAAUAUAAUAAUGAGUUGAAGAUUUGUAUUAAAACAUAAAUUUGAAUUUGGAAUUUAAAAUGGAAAGGAGAAAGAAAUAACAUAAAAUACAAAAUAAAUGCAAAAAUAAAUAAAUCCCACAUUAGUAUGUUCAAGAUGAAUAAUUAAUUUGAGUACAAAUUAUGCUACAAGAUUUGAAUUCAAACUCUAG